rnacentral:lncRNA from 1 species
UUUGUAGAUCUAAAAAUGUGUAAAAAAAUAGACUUAGCUUAAGAGAUAAGCAAUGGUUGGACCAAGAAAGAGAUAGAGAUAGAUAGAGAAGUUGCAUUAUCCGAGAAUACUCAUGAUUCUUAUUACAAUGUGAAGGUCUUCUUUAUAUAGUAGGAGACCUUCCUCGAAAUAAUAAAAAAGUACAAAAGUUGGUGGCUUACACUUAGUAAAAAAGUCAGGCACUAAACGACGUCACUUUUUUUUUACCAACUUGGGCCGUGCCCUUACUUGGGUCACCCUUAUCAUAAGGGACGUGCCCACUCGGCGUGGGGGCGUUAUGAGCCAAGUUUAACCCUAUACACAGACCUUACAGGAUUUUCAGCAAAACAAAUAGAUCCGAUUUUGGACUGCAACCAGAACCUCAACGAACCAAGAAUCUGCCCGGACACCUCGAACGAACAACCUCGAUUUAAAAUGACACCACUAACACAACAAUGGCGAAACUGGAGCAACUGUCAAAACGACAUACACGAAGGACUCGCGAGAGAGAUAACUCCGUCCAAACUCAACACAAAAUAUCAAAAAUCCAGAACUUGAAAGAUCUAAACUCGCUCGAUAUAGAAAUAAGGCAUGCUGGAACAAUGGUGACGAAAUAGUUGACUGUUUUCUACUCAUUCAUCGUCGACGAUGCGACUCCGACGAUAUAAAGACAAUAGAGGGUGGAACGAUAGCUCUGUGUGUGUGUGUGUUGUUUAGGGAGUGCCGAAAAAGAAGAGUGUGCGGCUAUGUGUAUCUAGGUUCGAAGAAAAGGAAAUGGUUGAAAGGUCAUUGGUCGACGAGAUGGAUACACGGCCGUUGAUGGUCUUUUCUGCUCGUUUCCCGUCAGCUGACAUCUUUUCUUGUCUGUGUUAAUCGUUGUUUUAGGUUGAAGAAGAAAGACCGACAGUGAUAGGGUUGUUAUUUGGGUGUUAUCGUUCAGGGGUCCUCCAUUUUUGCUUUUUCGUUUUCUGGUGUGUUCUUUGACUGGUUUUGGAUAUGGAGUAACGAAGAAGAUGUUGACAGGAGGGGCUGGGGUCGUCGGAAGAAGAUAAAAUCGAGGGGGUGGGUCUUUUUCUGUCAAAAACUGCGCUGAUUGUUGGUUGAAGAAGAACGAGGGGUCUUGUAUAUGCACUGUUGCAGCUCUCCUUGGUAUCUAGAUAUCUAGGGUUUUGCUCUUGUUGUUUUUAUGAAGAUGAUGAAGAAGAAAGUUUUUUACUAUUGCGGCUGAUAUCUUUUUUUUUUUUUCAACUAGGUCUUUUUGUGUGUUAAGAAGAAUAAGGUUUGGUGGGUCGAGUCGGGUCUGGGGGAGGACGG